rnacentral:rRNA from 1 species
UACGGGGGGGAGCAAGCGUUGUUCGGAUUUACUGGGCGUAAAGGGCGCGUAGGCGGUCAGCACAAGUCAGUUGUGAAAUCUCCGGGCUUAACUCGGAAAGGUCAACUGAUACUGUGCGACUAGAGUGCAGAAGGGGCAACUGGAAUUCUCGGUGUAGCGGUGAAAUGCGUAGAUAUCGAGAGGAACACCUGCGGCGAAGGCGAGUCCCUGGACAACACCUGACACUGAGGCACGAAAGCUAGGGGAGCAAACAGG